rnacentral:rRNA from 1 species
CCUACGGGGCGCUGCAGUGGGGAAUAUUGCACAAUGGGGGAAACCCUGAUGCAGCGACGCCGCGUGAGUGAAGAAGUAAUUCGUUAUGUAAAGCUCUAUCAGCAGGGAAGAAAAUGACGGUACCUGAGUAAGAAGCCCCGGCUAACUACGUGCCAGCAGCCGCGGUAAUACGUAGGGGGCAAGCGUUAUCCGGAUUUACUGGGUGGAAAGGGAGCGUAGACGGCAGUGCAAGUCUGGAGUGAAAGGCGGGGGCUCAACCCCCGGACUGCUCAGGAAACUGUACGGCCGGAGUGCAGGAGAGGUAAGUGGAAGUCCUAGUGUAGCGGUGAAAUGCGUAGAUAUUAGGAGGAACACCAGUGGCGAAGGCGGCUUACUGGACUGUAACUGACGUUGAGGCUCGAAAGCGUGGGGAGCAAACAGGAUUAGAUACCCUUGUAGUC